rnacentral:rRNA from 1 species
AAUCCUGCUAAGCGGACGACCUGAGGACAUGUUAAACACACGGGGGUCGGGACGAGGGAAACCACGGACCGAUGCCCCGAGCACGUUGUCGACCUCCGGUCGAUYGUCGUGCAAACUAACAAACCCCGGGCGCAGAUUCGCGCCAAGGAAAACGUAAAAAGGAAUGUCUGCCGCACGUCGUGCCGUAAGGUUGCGCACGUGUGGGUCACGGACGCCUAAAGAAACAAAAACGACUCUCGGCAACGGAUAUCUCGGCUCUCGCAUCGAUGAAGAACGUAGCGAAAUGCGAUACUUGGUGUGAAUUGCAGAAUCCCGUGAAUCAUCGAGUCUUUGAACGCAAGUUGCGCCCAAGUCCAUUAGGCCGAGGGCACGUCUGCCUGGGCGUCACGCAUCGCGCCGUCCCCCAACACCAAGCAUGAAACAUUGCUUGUUGUUGGAGGGCCGGAUAUUGGCUUCCCGUGCUCCGGCGCGGCUGGCCUAAAUUCUAGUCCCUUGCGACGGACACGACGACAAGUGGUGGUUGGUUGCCUCAACUAAGGUGCUGUCGUGCGUUGGCCCGUCGGAUGAGGAGACCUCCUUGACCCUAAUGCAUGCGUCGUCACGACGCUGCUCAUGACCGCGACC